rnacentral:rRNA from 1 species
UACGUAUGUUGCAAGCGUUACUCGGAAUCACUGGGCGUAAAGAGUUCGUAGGCGGACUUUCAAGUCAGAAGUGAAAUUUUAGGGCUCAACCCUAAAACGGCUUUUGAAACUGUAAGUCUUGAGUAUGUGAGAGGUAGAUGGAAUUCCUGGUGUAGCGGUGGAAUGCGUAGAUAUCAGGAAGAACACCGAUGGCGAAGGCAGUCUACUGGCACAAUACUGACGCUGAGGAACGAAAGCGUGGGGAGCGAACAGG